CCUGCCUCCGUCCGUCCCCGCGCGGCGCCCAGGCGAACCCGGCGCGGCAUUUUGGGUCGGUGCCGCGCUCCGAGGCUCCUUCCAGCCCGGCGGGGAAGAAAGGCGCCGGGGGCGUCCCGGGAUGAGGCGCUUCCCUUCCUAGCCGGCCAGCCAGCCGGAGGAUCCGAGCAGGGGAGCGGAUCGGGGGAUGGCGCCGCCUGGCACGAAGCCUCCUUGCAGCCGAGCCGGAGCCCCGUCUUGAGCGAGCGGCUUCCCUUUGUUGGAAGCUCAAGGUGGGAUUACUUAAUACCCCAUCCAGUUUCUUCCCUGGGCUGGAGGAUGGUCAGGACACAAAGGAGGAGUAAAUAAGAAUAUCUCCAGUAACAUCUCAUCACUACUCUCCUGGGAAAGUGGUUUCCCCCUCCCUUUUCUUUCACACAGAUGGGAUUUAGAAGAUUUUGAACUUCUGUGGUCACCAUGCCUGGUGCCAGAACCUCAUUCUGAGUUGAAAUGAAAACAGUAGAAGCCUCUCUUUGAAUGAAAGAAGAAGAAGCAGCAGCGCGUUUAAGUGGGCCAAAGUUGAAAGCAGGGAAGGAGGAGGGAGCCAGUGCCUCUCUCAUGCAAUCUCUGGGGGGCUUUUAACAUUGUUCCUUCUGAGCAGAACUUCUGACAAGUUUAUUUCAUUUUUAAUUGUGGAAGGGGACAAGGGAGGAAUGGGAAGCUUCUGCUUUAAAGACUUGGAGACGGCCACAGCCUAGCCUCCCUAACGGAAACUAGAAAGCUAGCAAAGGAAAAAAAAUCAGCUGGGACUGGACCAAAGGGACUCUAAAUCCUAACAUAAUGCCUGUUUUUUUUUGUUUUUUUUUCUUAUUUUGCUUUCUAUUUUAAAUUCAAGGUCCUGCCAAGCUUACAAUGUUCCUCUUUUUUUUUUUCCUUCUUUUUUCAGUUUUACAAGCCAAGAGUUGUGGUCAGUUUUCUCACGUAUAAUCCCAGGUUCUUUUCAUUUGCCAAAAGUGUAGCUGAAAAGAUUCAUUAUUUUGUCAUUUUAAGGCCUUAAAUAAAUUUAUUCAGAGAUCCUACCAGGUUGCUGAGGAUUGCAAGACAGGGUGGGUUGUUUUUCUUUUCUUAUUAAUUGAAAUAAAGACGAAUGUCUGCAUAAAUGUGUGUUUGAUGAGCACGCACACAACUAAUUAGCAUUCAUGGUGAGGGGGCUCUGUUUUUUCUUUCAGAUGUUCUGCUCAUUAUCUGAAUAGAAGUUCGCUCAGAAGUGGGAAAAAUUGAUUUAAACAGAGCAGCUGAGAAUUCUGUUCAGCAAUAAACCCAUUUUGGAAUCCAGUCUCAUAAUUUUUCAGGGGUUUUUUGGGGUGUGUGUGAGAAGAGCACCAUCACAUAAAAGCUGACUUCAAGCUUCUCGGAUGAAGUUUGUUGUGAUCGAAACAUGUUUCCGAGCAAACUCAUUUUCCCCAGGUUAGAAAAAUUGGUAGUUUUAGAAGCUAAGGGAGAUAAGUCUGUCUGUCUUUCUGUGUCUAUCUAAAAAUAAAGUCUUGAUGGCAGCUCCAGUUAUAUGACAGAAGCUGUGUCCCAAUAGAAGAAAAUUUUCAUAGCUCAGGGUUGAACUGGGCAUCCUUGCUGUGCUUGGUUGUUUUCUUGAAGCUGUUUCAUUACCCAACUAGGU
rnacentral:lncRNA from 1 species